GACAGAAACGAAAAAAGGUCAGUUUUUUCAUUUUCUGAGACCGGAAGUGGUCAUCAGCAAGUGUGGAGCCAAACAGAGUACGGUGCAUAGACUGUAUAUACAUUUUUUCGUUAGUUUUCAUGGUCAAAAUGAGAGAUCAGGUUGCCGAUCUUAAAAUAAAUUAAUAUUGACUUUUUUAUAGAUCGUUACAGUUUUGCGAAGCCAGGGGGCGGGACUACUUGAUUGACAGUCCGGUCUGGAAUGAUUGACAGGUCCUAUGGAGGAGGAAGCGGAGACUCUGCUCUCCUCGUUUGGAUUAAUUCUGAUAUAAUAACUGUUGGUUUAUUUAUCGGUGCAGCAGCAGAACAUUUUCCACAGACAGUUUUCCUGCCCGUUGGCUUGUUUUAACCAGUUUCUGCCUUCGGCUGAUUCUACCAGCAGACACUGAAAGGACUCUAAUAGUUCGAGUGAAAGUAGCAGUUCCUCCUUAAGGUCAGAGAUUGCAGCAUCUGAGGGCCUCUUCAAAAGAAGAUGUAGUUGAUGAAGGCGUUCUGGAGCAGGACCAGAAAGACCACGACCAAGCAGCCUUGAGAUCUUAGGCAGCGUCUCCCUCAGGUCCCUCUCUAUCUCCCCACACAUCCACCAACCACUGGAACACAUCUCCAAAGUUCUGCCAGGCCAGCUCAGCUUCCCUUCAGAAGAAGUUCCACCAGAUGAAGGAGCCUUUUGAGAGGCAGCUGGCAUCGCUCACCCUGAAUGCAGCCGUCUGCUGUCUGAUAGUUUUCCUCA